rnacentral:rRNA from 1 species
UACGAAGGGGGCUAGCGUUGCUCGGAAUCACUGGGCGUAAAGGCGCGUAGGCGGCCAUUCAAGUCGGAGGUGAAAGCCCAGGGCUCAACCCUGGAAUUGCCUUCGAUACUGUUUGGCUAGAGACCGGAAGAGGUAAGUGGAACUGCGAGUGUAGAGGUGAAAUUCGUAGAUAUUCGCAAGAACACCAGUGGCGAAGGCGGCUUACUGGUCCGGUUCGUGACGCUGAGGCGCGAAAAGCGUGGGGGAGCAAACAGGAUU